UAAAGAGUAACUUCCACUCUUAAAAAGGUUGAUUUGUUUUACUCCAGGAGUGAGUCAGCUGUGGAGUGUUGAGACAGGCUGGAGUUAAAGGGCAUCUGCCAGGUAAGAAGAAUUGUGAAACUACAGAUAUUUUCUUUGAUCUUCAAAAGAAGACUUUGGAUACAUUAUCUAUUGACUACAUCAAGAGUGGAAUGGUUUUUGCAUCCUGUCAAAGUUUCUGUGGUAAUAUGGAAUGGCCACUAAGAGCAGAAGCAGCAGUGGAGAGGAGCAAUCUGGAGCCUAGAAUAAGCUAGAUGUGCUGCAGAGGACAGAGCAGAAGAAUCCAUGCCCUGCUGGGGAGCCUAGAAAAUCGAAAUUAGUCCUGAGAAGAAAUAUAGAAAUGCAACUCGUUCAAGACUGCUACAAAACCAAAGCUUCCCUGGCAACCAGAGUAACCAGGCAACCAAAGUAACGAGGUCCUAACAGAGAGGACUGCCUUUGUGCUGUCAAGCCCGACUCUACCUCAGACCUCUGCUGUCCAGCUAGCCUUAGGGCUUCAUCUGGAAAAGGAUGAUAGGUCUUCAGGCCUCUCACAACUCUCCUCUUCUCCCUUCUCCAAAUUUCAGCUGUGCCGAGGAGAAAGUAACAGUGUGUGGAAAGUCCUGAGAUAGGCAACAAGAGACAGUUGAACUUCUGACACCAUGUGGUUAGGGGCACACACUCUCCUGUAUAAUAAUUUACCAGCAGCCUGCUUCCUUCAUAUGCACAUGCUGUGCAUGCACAACUGCCUCCAAGAAAUGCACCAAACAGCAUUGGCGCCUUGAACUUCCCACUUGUACCUGGCUAUGCAUGUUCCUAUCUCUGAGCAAUCAUCUUCUCUUCUCCUGGUAAUAACUAAAUUGUGGUUGUUUCUAUUCAAGUGUAUUUGCAAUGUAUCUGGGUAUGAAAAGUAGAAAGGAUAUUCCAGUAUGAGCAUUUUUUGUAUGCAUGCACAAUAAGACAUAAUUGUGUCCCUUAGUUAGCUUCUAGCGAGGAUCCUGUGAAUAAUGGGAAGUACAUAUUAUUGGAAUCAGGGCAUUGUGGGGAAGGACACACACAGAACAGGAAUACCUAUAUAACCCAAUCUAACAAACAAAAUAGAGAACCACCCAAACUGUACCUCUUUAGAAGUCAUUCCCUCCUUCCUUUAUACCCCGUAAGGAGAAACCUGAGAGGAUAUCCCGGAGCCCAUGAGUAGAACUCUUAUUCCUGCAGCCUGCUGUUAGUCCUGGCAGUAUCUGUAAUCAGGACCAUUGCAUUUGUUCAAAAUGAAGUUACCUUACUUCUUUCACAGAUCUGUGUGAACCGUUAUUUCUAAUUUUUGGAUAUGAAAACAAGAACCUGAAAAUACCCAACCCAGACCCCAGCACUAAAAACAAGGCUUACCUGGGUUUGAAUGCCCACUGCAAAAUUGUGAUGGUGUGAGUUACCACUGUGAAUGUGUUGGGAAGAGGGAACUUUACAUCACAAGGCUGUACACUUAAGACGACACAAGUGUCCCUCUUGAUCCUAUUCUACAGUGGAUAAACUAUGUGUGAGUAGAUUUGCUUUAAAAAGUAGCCUGUUGGGAAACAGCCUUCCCUGGCCCCCUCGUUCUCUCUCUCCACACCACGCGUCCUGCCAUGGUAAGAUCCAAUAAGAAGGCACUUGACAGAUGUAGCCCUUUGAUCAUAAACUUCCCACACUCUGCAACUUCAAUGAAGAAAUGUCUUUUCUUUACAAAUUACCCAGUGUGUGGUGGUCUGGGAUAGUAGCAGAAAAUGGGCUCAGACAGGGAUAUAUUAAAAGGUGUAAAAAAUGAAACUUUGAGAUAAUUAGCAUCCGUGUUCCUAGAUUAAACAUAUAACAAACCUGACUGAGAAGUUCACUUCUCCUCGCUUAGUGAUUGGCAUCACAUAGUUCACGUUAGCACGGUUGUUAGCAGCAGCGAGGUGAUUAUGUCACAUUUCCUUCUUCCCUUCUUGUCUCUCUUCAUUCAUUAUUCAUCCUUAAGUUAAAGCUCUUCAGUUGCCCUGUCCAAAACUUCCAGGAGAAAUGCUUGCCAAAAUUAUGAGAGGUCCACAUUCAGAAGGACAUGGAAAAAAAAAAAAAAAACCUUGAGAUAUUCACUUCAAAUAGUUGAGCACUGUGACAUAUAAAUUAGAUGCCAAUAAAAUUGCUACAAAACAAACAGAAAUCGUGAGUUAACUGGGAAAUUGAUACCAAUAAAAUUAUCAGAAUAAUUAAAGUCUGCUUACCAGUUCAUUCACAAAUUCUCUCAGUGUAUUGUUCAUUAAACAUUUUAUGCAACAAUGGAAUUAGACUCAUGCAUAUAAAUCAGUCUCCACCCUGCCACCAUCAUCAGGAGAAAAGAGGCAGAUGUGUCAAAUAUCAUUUAGCACAAACAGAAGGGUACUGAGUCAACGAGAACAGCUUCAGAAUUGAGAUAUGAGGAGAGGGGGGGUUCAGGAGGGGGGAUGGA